rnacentral:rRNA from 1 species
CAGCCGCCGCGGGAACACGUAGGUGGCAAGCGUUGUCCGGAAUUAUUGGGCGUAAAGGGCUCGCAGGCGGUUUCUUAAGUCUGAUGUGAAAGCCCCCGGCUCAACCGGGGAGGGUCAUUGGAAACUGGGAAACUUGAGUGCAGAAGAGGAGAGUGGAAUUCCACGUGUAGCGGUGAAAUGCGUAGAGAUGUGGAGGAACACCAGUGGCGAAGGCGACUCUCUGGUCUGUAACUGACGCUGAGGAGCGAAAGCGUGGGGAGCGAACAGGAUUAGAUACCCGCGUAGUCCCUGUCUCUUAUAC